GAUCCCUGCUUUUAGGAGAACUUUUCCUUGUCUGUAUAAUUCAGACCUCCUCUCUUGUCUCAUCCACCAGGAUGGUAACGGAUGUAUUGAUGAGCAGGAGCUCGAUGCUCUGCUGAAGGACCUCUGUGACAAGAACAAAAUGGACGUGGACUCAACCGGACUGGAGGAUUACAAGAAGAGCAUCAUGGCUCUAUCAGAUGGAGGGAAACUGUACCGCACUGAGAUGGAGAUCGUCCUCUGCCGGGACUCCAUGCUGUGACUCCUCUGCCUGGGACUCCUCCCCCCACUGCCUCCUCCUUCCUACCUCCUGAUGUAACCUGCUGCAUGUAUGACCCCCAGCCUCGCUACACCACUUAGAGUGAAGACAAAAACGCUCCUGAAAGCACAGUGUACUGCAGCCCUGCUGUUUAGUCUUUGUACCAUCAGAGUUUCUUCUUCUUCUUUUCUAAACAUGCAGUUCAAUAGUGAGACAGCUAGCAAUGACUAAAGGAAUAUAUUGAGUAUUUAUUCAUUUGAUGUCCCGUUUUUGAUAUGCGUUUCUAUUUUUAAAUUAAUUUCUGUCGACAUAUGUUCCCCUCCUGUUGAAUUCAAGUUGAAUGCUUCUGUUGAAUUUGUUUAUUUAUUUCAAACUCAUUCACCAUUUAUUAUUAUGAGCUUGUUUUAUUUGAUGAGGCUUGUACUGUUUACUAAAGAUAUUACCGAAAGAAUGAAUAAAUAUAACAUGACA